UGGUCACACACAUAAUCUACUUUGAAUUUUAUUUGACAAAAUAAUGCAUACGUAUACGAACGCUUUAUUUCCAUAUUUACUAGUUUGAUACGUCACUUUAGAAAUGCUUUUUACACUCCAUAUAUGGAAAAAUAUUCCAAAUAAACAUAAAGAGGAACAAAUGAACUAUAAACAUGUGGACGUUAUAGUUCCAAAUAAAGAUGUGGCUGUAAGAGACGAACUCAAUUUUCCGUGUACAUAAUUCAAGCCUGCGUCCCUUUCUGAAAAGUGAGUUCAAGGUUAAAAAUGGAAAAGAAAAAAUGCCUGUCAACUCAACUGGAUAUAAUAAUAAUUGAUUAUGAGAUAGCUACUCCUUCUACUUGCACAAUUUCAAAAUCACGUGAUGUAUAUUACCGGAAAUUGUUUUUUUAGAUUAUCAAAAUAAAAACAUCAUACUUAUGCGAUAAUGUAUAUGUUUAUAUUUCUUAUUUUUUAUAACUUACACGCAUUUCAAAAUAAUAACUACUCUAACAUUCUAGUAUAUAAAUUAUAAAAGAAAUGAAGACUUUUUUUUUUAUAAAUUAGAGCAUAGACUAAUUCCUCGAAUAGCAUAAUACUGUAAUAGAGGAUAAAAUUAUUUUCAAAAGAUUUACUAUUACUGUAUGUUUAGGACCUAAUUCAAAUUCAGAAAUUCGAAUUAAGCAGGAAGAAACAUGUCAUCGCUUUUGCGUAUUUCUUUUUCUUUCUUUUUUUACUAAAAGAAGCAUAUUCCUAUGAUUGUUUUAAUUACCUCAUUUAGUCGACUCUGUCGAGGAAUAAAAAACAUCAUUUAGUAUCAUGGAAGAUAUUUUGAUAAAAAAUCAUUACUCUUUAUGAGCCUGGUGUAGGGUCACUCUUCUCAUCACUUUCCCUUUCUCUUUUCCAAAUAUAACCCAUCACAAGGCAAACCAGCUGUCUCAUUUGACGUAUAAAAUAUCUAAACUCACUCACUCACACAAAACAUCACACACUCACACACACUCUCACACUGUUACCACUUUCCUUUAACUAUGGUUCCCUAUAUAUACAACACCUUACUCUUCACAAUCUUUACACCAACUCUAUCUUCAGCCACCAAUUUCACUUUCGAAACCUUUUCUAUUGUCUCCAUCACAAAAAUAUGUUUCCAACUAACAGCUCUUCCACUUCACAACCCAGUUCCUCAAAACCUUCCACUUCCUCCAACACAACAUUGCCAAAUUUAGAGGUCUCUCAUGACAUGUCAGUUUUCAACGAGGAACUGCGGUUAGCUGCUAGUACACCGAAGAAACGUGCAGGGAGGAAGAAGUUCAAGGAGACUCGCCACCCUGUGUAUAGGGGUGUAAGGAGGAGGAACUUAGAUAAAUGGGUCUGUGAAAUGAGGGAGCCAAACAAGAAGACUAAAAUUUGGCUAGGAACUUUUCCGACAGCUGAGAUGGCAGCCCGAGCUCAUGAUGUUGCAGCAUUGGCAUUAAGAGGUCGUUACGCUUGUCUCAACUUUAGAGACUCCGCAUGGCGACUCCCUGUUCCAGCCACUACCGAGACAAAAGAUAUACAAAAGGCAGCUGCACUGGCCGCCGAAGCUUUCAGACCAGCCAACAAGACUUUAGAACCAGAUGAGGCUUUUAGACCAGACAAAACUUUAGAAUCAGAUGAUGCUUUCGAACCAGACAAGACUUUAAUAUCUAAUGACAUUGACACGGCAGUAGCUGCAACAACAGAAGAGCAAUUUAUGUUUCGUAUGGAAGAGGAAGAAGAAGAGAAAGAGUUGAGCAUUCCAGAAAUGUUAAAGAAUAUGGCACUAAUGUCCCCAACACAUAGCUUGGGACAUGAGGAUGAACAUAUUGAUGCAGACUUUGAAGAUGUUGAGGUGUCACUAUGGAGUUUUUCAAUUUGAUUUAUCUGUAUUCUUUAUAAUAUAAAGUUCACUUUAUUUUUGGGUUGCAGAAUAGAAAAUUGUCUGUCCUAUACUAUUUUUUAUUAAUUGUGCAAUAGAUAUUUUAAUCUACUUAUGUGAAAUUGAAAAAUAUAUUUUUUUUGAUAGCUUUUAUGAGAAUGUAACUAAUAAGGUAUAAAGUGCAUCUCUAAUCCUUUUUUUAGUAUGUUCUAUAAAAGGAUACAAAUAUAAAUUAACAAAAGACUACACAAGUAUCAAAUCAUAGUCAUGAUCAUUUCAAUCAGAAUAAUCAAUACAAAAUCUAUAAAAGAAUAAUCAAUAUUUUAUAAAUUUCGUAUCUGAAGAUCUAAUUUCAAUCCUUGCAGAUCUAAAUCUGAAGAAGUUGUCAAACAAGAACAUACAGCAAUCCAAAAAUAUCACACAAAAAUCAAAACCUAAUCAGAAAUUAAAUAGAAAACUAACCAAAAUCAGAAUUGCGUACAAAAUUAAAGUGAAAAUGAAUAACUAGUGUCUACUAAUUUUGAAAUACAAACAGAGAAGAGAAUUAAAGUUUAGGGUUUUCAACAAAAAAACUUAGGGAUUUUCUGUUCUGAAAGAACGAACUGGACAAAAUAAAGCAACUUACUCUUAGAGGAGAAGAAGACGACGGCUGUGAGAUCUCCGGCACGGUGGCUCCGUCGAAAAACCUGGUUCGAAAUAAAAAUGAUAGAACUGAGAAUCGGGAAGAAGAUG
rnacentral:lncRNA from 1 species